rnacentral:rRNA from 1 species
CCUACGGGAGGCAGCAGUGAGGAAUAUUGGUCAAUGGACGAGAGUCUGAACCAGCCAAGUAGCGUGAAGGAUGACUGCCCUAUGGGUUGUAAACUUCUUUUAUAUGGGAAUAAAAUGUUCCACGUGUGGGAUUUUGUAUGUACCAUAUGAAUAAGGAUCGGCUAACUCAGUGCCAGCAGCCGCGGUAAUACGGAGGAUCCGAGCGUUAUCCGGAUUUAUUGGGUUUAAAUGGAGCGUAGGUGGAUUUUUAAGUCAGUUGUGAAAGUUUGCGGCUCAACCGUAAAAUUGCAGUUGAAACUGGCAGUCUUGAGUACAGUAGAGGUGGGCGGAAUUCGUGGUGGAGCGGUGAAAUGCUUAGAUAUCACGAAGAACUCCGAUUGCGAAGGCAGUUCACUGGACUGCAACUGACACUGAGGCUCGAAAGUGUGGGUAUCAAACAGGAUUAGAUACCCGUGUAGUC